rnacentral:lncRNA from 1 species
GUUCCGGUGGAGUGCUGGUUCGGGGUGGAGUGCUGGUUCGGGUGGAGUGCUGGUUCCGGUUGGAGUGCUGGUUCGGGUGGAGUGCUGGUUCCGGUUGGAGUGCUGGUUCUGGUUGGAGUGCUGGUUCGGGGUGGAGUGCUGGUUCGGGUGGAGUGCUGGUUCGGGUGGAGUGCUGGUUCCGGUUGGAGUGCUGGUUCGGGUGGAGUGCUGGUUCGGGUGGAGUGCUGGUUCGGGUGGAGUGCUGGUUCCGGUUGGAGGGCUGGUUCGGGUGGAGUGCUGGUUCGGGUGGAGUGCUGGUUCCGGUCGGAGUGCUGGUUCGGGUGGAGUGCUGGUUCGGGUGGAGUGCUGGUUCGGGUGGAGUGCUGCUUCCGGUUGGAGUGCUGGUUCGGGUGGAGUGCUGGUUCCUGUUGGAGUGCUGGUUCGGGUGGAGUGCUGGUUCGGGUGGAGUGCUGGUUCGGGUCGGAGUGCUGGUUCGGGGUGGAGUGCUGGUUCGGGGUGGAGUGCUGGUUUGGGUUUGAAUGCUGGUUCGGGGUGGAGUGCUGGUUCGGGUGGAGUGCUGGUUCGGGUGGAGUGCUGGUUCGGGGUGGAGUGCUGGUUCGGGUUUGAAUGCUGGUUCGGGGUGGAGUGCUGGUUCGGGUCGGAGUGCUGGUUCGGGUUGGAGUGCUGGUUCGGGGUGGAGUGCUGGUUCGGGUCAGAGUGCUGGUUCGGGUCAGAGUGCUGGUUUGGGUCGGAGUGCUGGUUUGGGGUGGAGUGCUGGUGUGGGUUGGAGUGCUGGUUCCAGUUGAGUGCUGAUUUGGGUCGGAUUGCUGGUUUGGGUCAGAGUGCUGGUUUGGGUCGGAGUGCUGGUUUGGGUCGGAGUGCUGGUUCGGGUUGGAGUGCUGGUUCCGGUUGGAGUGCUGGUUCCGGUUGGAGUGCUGGUGCUGGUUUGGGUCGGAGUGCUGGUUUGGGCGAGUGCUGGUUCGGGUUGGAGUGCUCCUUUGGUCACCAUGUGCUGGAUGUAAUAUUUCUGUACUACUGUUACCUCUUGUGUGAAAUGAGCAUGACAAUACCUAUCAUCUCAAGAUAGUUUUUGAGGAAUGAAUGAGGAGGUAUUUGUACAUUUGGACUUAAAUGUAAGACUUAACACACCCAGCCUGGGCAACAUGCUGAAACCUCGUCUCUACAAAAA